GAUGAACGCUGGCGGCGUGCCUAAUACAUGCAAGUCGAGCGAAUGGAUUAAGAGCUUGCUCUUAUGAAGUUAGCGGCGGACGGGUGAGUAACACGUGGGUAACCUGCCCAUAAGACUGGGAUAACUCCGGGAAACCGGGGCUAAUACCGGAUAACAUUUUGAACCGCAUGGUUCGAAAUUGAAAGGCGGCUUCGGCUGUCACUUAUGGAUGGACCCGCGUCGCAUUAGCUAGUUGGUGAGGUAACGGCUCACCAAGGCAACGAUGCGUAGCCGACCUCAGAGGGUGAUCGGCCACACUGGGACUGAGACACGGCCCAGACUCCUACGGGAGGCAGCAGUAGGGAAUCUUCCGCAAUGGACGAAAGUCUGACGGAGCAACGCCGCGUGAGUGAUGAAGGCUUUCGGGUCGUAAAACUCUGUUGUUAGGGAAGAACAAGUGCUAGUUGAAUAAGCUGACACCUUGACGGUACCUAACCAGAAGCCACGGCUAACUACGUGCCAGCCGCCGCGGUAA
rnacentral:rRNA from 1 species